rnacentral:rRNA from 1 species
UAGGGAAUUUUCGGCAAUGGGGGGAACCCUGACCGAGCAACGCCGCGUGAACGAAGAAGUUAUUCGUAAUGUAAAGUUCUUUUAUUAGUGAAGAAAGAGGAAUUUGACGGUAGCUAAUGAAUAAGCUCCGGCUAACUACGUGCCAGCAGCCGCGGUAAUACGUAGGGAGCGAGCGUUAUCCGGAAUUAUUGGGCGUAAAGGGUGCGUAGAUGGGACGAUAAGUCUUUUGUAAAAAUGCUAGGCUCAACCUAGUAGGGCAAAAGAUACUAUAGACCUAGAGUAUGGCAGAGGCAAGUGGAACUACAUGUGUAGCGGUAAAAUGCGUAAAUAUAUGUAAGAACACCAGUGGCGAAGGCGGCUUGCUGGGCCGAUACUGACAUUGAGGCACGAAAGCGUGGGGAGCAAACAGG